AACAUAUUUAUACAAGUCAGUUCACAAGUGAAUUCUCAUUGAAGAGUUUCAGUAGUUUAUUUUUCAUCAUGCUAUUCAUCAAAUUCUACCAGUUUCUCUUUUUUGCCAUUUUCGGGCUGGUUUUAGUUUCUUCAACGAAUGAAGAAGAGAGCACUUCCACAAGAGACAAGCGAACUUUAGGGUUGGGGCUGAGUUUGUUGCUUCCGUCCCUUCAUAUUGGAUCCUCCAGAUACCACGACUACCAUGACCAUGAUCGUGUCAUUAUUCAUCAUCAUAGUCCAACUAUUGAACAUCAUUAUUACGACUGAAUCCACUACAACUGAUUAUUUAUUUCACUAAGAUUAUUGAAGUAUUAAAUGUUAUUCGAAAG